GUGUCAUCCCAGAGCAAGGGUUCCAGGCUGGCUAAUGUCAAUUCUGUGCAAUUUAUUUUUCCCACAGCAUGCUGAGAGAAGGCAGCUGACCCUCUGAAACAAUGAAUGACAACUGGAUCAACUUCCAUCUUCUGCAAAAGUGCAUCAGCAAAGGAGGUGGGAACCUCAGUCAGGAGCCCUAAUAUUUUACCCUAUUACUGAAG